rnacentral:rRNA from 1 species
GAGUCUUGGAGAGGGAGUGGAAUUCCAGGUGUAGCGGUGAAAUGCGUAGAUAUCUGGAGGAACAUCAGUGGCGAAGGCGACUCCCUGGCCAAAGACUGACGCUCAUGUGCGUUAAAGUGUGGGUAGCGAACAGGAUUAGAUACCCUGGUAGUCCACACCGUAAACGCUGUCUACUAGCUGUGUGUGAAUUUAAUUCGU